CGCUAGCGGCAGGCCUAAUACAUGCAAGUCGAGGGGCAGCAUGAGUACUUGUACUUGAUGGCGACCGGCGCACGGGUGCGUAACGCGUAUGCAACCUACCUUUUACUGGAGGAUAGCCCGGGGAAACUCGGAUUAAUACUCCAUAGUAUUAUCAGAUGGCAUCUGAAGAUAAUUAAAGAUUUAUUGGUAAAAGAUGGGCAUGCGUAUCAUUAGUUAGUUGGUAAGGUAACGGCUUACCAAGACUUCGAUGAUUAGGGGGCCUGAGAGGGUGAUCCCCCACACUGGUACUGAGAUACGGACCAGACUCCUACGGGAGGCAGCAGUAGGGAAUAUUGGUCAAUGGAGGAGACUCUGAACCAGCCAUGCCGCGUGCAGGAAGACGGCCUUCUGGGUUGUAAACUGCUUUUGACAGGGAAGAAAACGGCUAUGCGUAGCUAACUGACGGUACCUGUAGAAUAAGCACCGGCUAACUCCGUGCCAGCAGCCGCGGUAAUACGGAGGGUGCAAGCGUUGUCCGGAUUUAUUGGGUUUAAAGGGUACGUAGGUGGCCUUAUAAGUCAGUGGUGAAAUGCUGCAGCUUAACUGUAGCACUGCCAUUGAUACUGUAAGGCUUGAGUGUCGUUGAGGCAGGCGGAAUUUAUGGUGUAGCGGUGAAAUGCAUAGAUACCAUAAAGAACACCGAUAGCGAAGGCAGCUUGCUAAGCGACAACUGACACUAAUGUACGAAAGCGUGGGUAGCGAACAGGAUUAGAUACCCUGGUAGUCCACGCCGUAAACGAUG
rnacentral:rRNA from 1 species